ACGGCUCAGUAACACGUGGAUAACCUGCCCUUGGGUCCGGCAUAACCCCGGGAAACUGGGGAUAAUUCCGGAUAACGCACAUAUGCUGGAAUGCUUUAUGCGUAAAAUGGAUUCGUCUGCCCAAGGAUGGGUCCGCGGCCUAUCAGGUAGUAGUGGGUGUAAUGUACCUACUAGCCUACAACGGGUACGGGUUGUGAGAGCAAGAGCCCGGAGAUGGAUUCUGAGACAUGAAUCCAGGCCCUACGGGGCGCAGCAGGCGCGAAAACUUUACAAUGCGGGAAACCGUGAUAAGGGGACACCGAGUGCCAGCAUCAUAUGCUGGCUGUCCAGGUGUGUAAAAUACACCUGUUAGCAAGGGCCGGGCAAGACCGGUGCCAGCCGCCGCGGUAACACCGGCGGCCCGAGUGGUGAUCGUGAUUAUUGGGUCUAAAGGGUCCGUAGCCGGUUUGGUCAGUCCUCCGGGAAAUCUGACGGCUUAACCGUUAGGCUUUCGGGGGAUACUGCCAGGCUUGGAACCGGGAGAGGUAAGAGGUACUACAGGGGUAGGAGUGAAAUCUUGUAAUCCCUGUGGGACCACCUGUGGCGAAGGCGUCUUACCAGAACGGGUUCGACGGUGAGGGACGAAAGCUGGGGGCACGAACCGGAUUAGAUACCCGGGUAGUCCCAGCCGUAAACGAUGCUCGCUAGGUGUCAGGCAUGGCGCGACCGUGUCUGGUGCCGCAGGGAAGCCGUGAAGCGAGCCACCUGGGAAGUACGGCCGCAAGGCUGAAACUUAAAGGAAUUGGCGGGGGAGCAC
rnacentral:rRNA from 1 species